AUUGAACGCUGGCGGCAGGCCUAACACAUGCAAGUCGAACGGUAACAGGAAGAAGCUUGCUUCUUUGCUGACGAGUGGCGGACGGGUGAGUAAUGUCUGGGAAACUGCCUGAUGGAGGGGGAUAACUACUGGAAACGGUAGCUAAUACCGCAUAACGUCGCAAGACCAAAGAGGGGGACCUUCGGGCCUCUUGCCAUCGGAUGUGCCCAGAUGGGAUUAGCUAGUAGGUGGGGUAACGGCUCACCUAGGCGACGAUCGCUAGCUGGUCUGAGAGGAUGACCAGCCACACUGGAACUGAGACACGGUCCAGACUCCUACGGGAGGCAGCAGUGGGGAAUAUUACACAGUGGGCGCAAGCCUGAUGCAGCCAUGCCGCGUGUAUGAAGAAGGCCUUCGGGUUGUAAAGUACUUUCAGCGGGGAGGAAGGGAGUAAAGUUAAUACCUUUGCUCAUUGACGUUACCCGCAGAAGAAGCACCGGCUAACUCCGUG
rnacentral:rRNA from 1 species